rnacentral:rRNA from 1 species
CAGCCGCCGCGGUAAUACGAAGGGUGCAAGCGUUAAUCGGAAUUACUGGGCGUAAAGCGUGCGUAGGCGGUGAGUUAAGUCUGCUGUGAAAUCCCCGGGCUCAACCUGGGAAUGGCAGUGGAUACUGGCUCGCUAGAGUGUGUCAGAGGAUGGUGGAAUUCCGCGUGUAGCAGUGAAAUGCGUAGAUAUGCGGAGGAACACCGAUGGCGAAGGCAAUCCCCUGGACCUGUACUGACGCUCAUGCACGAAAGCGUGGGGAGCAAACAGGAUUAGAUACCCCUGUAGUCCCUGUCUCUUAUAC